AUUGAACGCUGGCGGCAGGCCUAACACAUGCAAGUCGAGCGGUAGAGAGAAGCUUGCUUCUCUUGAGAGCGGCGGACGGGUGAGUAACGCGUAGGAAUCUACCUGGUAGUGGGGGACAACAUUCGGAAACGGAUGCUAAUACCGCAUACGCCCUAAGGGGGAAAGGAGGGGAUCUAUUUAUAGACCUUUCGCUAUCAGAUGAGCCUGCGUAGGAUUAGCUAGUUGGUAGGGUAAAGGCCUACCAAGGCGACGAUCCUUAGCUGGUCUGAGAGGAUGACCAGCCACACUGGGACUGAGACACGGCCCAG
rnacentral:rRNA from 1 species